UACGUAGGGUGCAAGCGUUAAUCGGAAUUACUGGGCGUAAAGCGUGCGCAGGCGGUUUUGUAAGUCUGUCGUGAAAUCCCCGGGCUCAACCUGGGAAUGGCGAUGGAGACUGCAAGGCUAGAGUUUGGCAGAGGGGGGUAGAAUUCCACGUGUAGCAGUGAAAUGCGUAGAGAUGUGGAGGAACACCGAUGGCGAAGGCAGCCCCCUGGGAUAACACUGACGCUCAUGCACGAAAGCGUGGGGAGCAAACAGG
rnacentral:rRNA from 1 species